rnacentral:lncRNA from 1 species
GGCUAGUAUGUCUGGCUUGACCAGUGGGGUGGCUCGACUCUUUUGACUCCAUCCUACGCUGGGCUGGGCCCACGAAACAGGGACACACACACGCGCGCACACACUGCACAACCACCGGCAGCGACGACAGAGGGCACAAAGCCACGACGACGCUACACUGGUGACCCAAAAGCGCCGCGAAAGGCACACAACUACCGCAACAUCCUUUUGCAUAAACGCACGCACUC